CCUACGGGUGGCUGCAGUAGGGAAUAUUGCUCAAUGGGGGAAACCCUGAAGCAGCAACGCCGCGUGGGGGAUGAAGGUUUUCGGAUUGUAAACCCCUUUUGGUAGAGAAGAUAAUGACGGUACCUAACUAAUAAGCACCGGCUAACUCCGUGCCAGCAGCCGCGGUAAUACGGAGGGUGCAAGCGUUAUUCGGAAUCACUGGGCGUAAAGGGCGCGUAGGCGGUAUAGCAAGUCAGAUGUGAAAUCCUAUGGCUUAACCAUAGAACUGCAGUUGAAACUGUUAUUCUAGAGUGUGGGAGAGGUAGGUGGAAUUCUUGGUGUAGGGGUAAAAUGCGUAGAUAUCAAGAGGAACACUCAUUGCGAAGGCGGCGUACUAGAACAUAACUGACGCUGAUGCACGAAAGCGUGGGGAGCAAACAGGAUUAGAUACCCCAGUAGUC
rnacentral:rRNA from 1 species